CGAAGGGGGCUAGCGUUGUUCGGAAUUACUGGGCGUAAAGCGUGCGCAGGCGGUUGUUUAAGUCAGCUGUGAAAUCCCCGGGCUUAACCUGGGAAUGGCAGUUGAGACUGGACGGCUAGAGUGUGUCAGAGGGGGGUAGAAUUCCACGUGUAGCAGUGAAAUGCGUAGAGAUGUGGAGGAAUACCGAUGGCGAAGGCAGCCCCCUGGGAUAACACUGACGCUCAUGCACGAAAGCGUGGGGAGCAAACAGGAUUAGAUACCCUGGUAGUCCACGCCCUAAACGAUGUCAACUAGUUGUCGGGACUUAAUUGUCUUGGUAACGCAGCUAACGCGUGAAGUUGACCGCCUGGGGAGUACGGUCGCAAGAUUA
rnacentral:rRNA from 1 species